rnacentral:Y_RNA from 1 species
GCCUGGUCCAAGCGCAGUGUUUACAACUAAUUGAUCCCAACCAGUUACAGAUUUCUUUGUUCCUUCUCCACUCCCACAGCUUCACUUGACUAGCCAAAA